UUUCCGUAGGUGAACCUGCGGAAGGAUCAUUAACGAGUUAGGGUCUUCUAGGCCCGACCCCCCAACCCUAUGUUUAUUGAACCUCUGUUGCUUCGGCGGACCCGCCUCACGGCCGCCGGAGGACCGCUGCAAGGCGUCCUCUGGCCAGCGUCCGCCGAUGGCCAACCACUUAAACUCUGAAUGAAUCGUGUCAUAUGUCUAAGUCUAUGAUUAAAUUAAAGCAAAACUUUCAACAACGGAUCUCUUGGUUCUG
rnacentral:misc_RNA from 1 species